UAUUCAUUGCUAACUCUCUAGUUUGAUUUCUCAACUGUAAUCAAAAGUUGUAGGUUUCUUGUUUCCUCACAAUUGAUUAAUCUAACAUUUUUGGUUAAAAAUUAGUUGAGCAACAAAUUGCAGAUACAAAUCUUGAUGUGAUGGUCUUAUAUAGCAAAGAAGAUUGUACCGAAACAGAAUAGAUCUUCUAUCCUAAACCAGAUAAGGUUAGAGCAAAAGGUUUCUUAGUUUAUUUGAGUUGAAUGUGUAUUUUGUAGGCUAUGGUCGCUAUUAGCUCAUUUAACAACAGUCUUCAUGAUCAUUCAAAUGAUCGUGACCAUAGUAGUUGAAUUAGUGUCCGAUAAAUGAUGCAAUGUAAUAUCUUAUAAAUCUCAUUUUAUCUUCUGUUUUAACAGUUCAGGAUUUGAGAACUUUGUGCUUACUUGCAACCAGUCUGGACAAAGGACCUCAUAAAUUCUCUGGCACCAUGAAGUAACAAAUUUCUCUUUUCUAUGUAUGUUCCAUCCCAAAAACUCUUUGUACAAAUAUUAUUCUCAGAUGUGUUAAUUAGCUUAUAGUUCUUUGACAAAUUAGAUACAUGGUUACAUGAUAAACAUGUGUUCAUUUGCAGAAGCUCACUCACAAGUCUCUAGCAUGACUAGUUGUUGACUGACAAAGAAGACAACUACAUAAGGUAUUACUUCAUCACUGAUGAGCGUUGAGAUCACUAAUCUAUUGAUGAAUCUAACGUUUUUUUUUAAUGUAAAAACUAGCUGAGCAACAAAUUGCAGGUACCAAACUUGAUGUGCUGGUCCUAGCAAAGGAAGUUGUACCACUUGUUGUCUUAGAUCAGAUAAGCUAUUGCCAUCUUAACGCAUCUUGAAUAAAAUAGACAAAGUUUUCUUAGUUUAUUUGAGUUGCGUAAAUAUUUGGGCAUGUGCAUUGGUUAUGGGAGUCAUCAUUAGAUUCUGCUAGCCAGUUCAUUUCACAGCAGUCUUCAUACUCACAAACUCAGAUUUUACUCGAACGAUUGUGACCAUACAGAGGUAUGCUCUUGAUUUUACUUACAGUUUGUAAAUUUUUUUUUACUUACACUUGGAAGUUUAACAUAUUACUUUCUUUUUGUUUCUCAUAUAUGGUUGUUUCAAGCACUGCUCAUUGCAGAUAAAAUCAGGGCAUGCUCUUUCUCAAAAGCACUGCAGUCCUUCUGAAGACAAUUAAAGCUAAAGUGCCAUCCUUCUGUUUCUAGAUGGUAUGUGGCUUAUUACAGUUUGUUGUUAAAUUUUUCUCUUCCAGUUUGAAUUUACAUUAUCAUAUACAGAUGUGGAUUAAGAAUUGUGGAAAGCUAUUCUUAGGAUGAGAACUGUGAAGCUUGAGCUGUGGUAGUAGCACCCAUUAUAAAUCAUUCUUUAUGCUAAGAAAUCUUCUAAUUUUUUUUUUUUAAUAUUGAUAACGAAUACUAAUCUUCACGAUUCUGAGUUAAGUGGUGUAAUGUUUGCAUUGGUGCUCCAAGAAGAUCUGUACUUAUAUUUUGUUGUUGAAGAUGUCUAGAGAGAAUUCACAAGAAUUACUUAAAUUUUUGGUCCACCCAUUUAUAGUCAGCAACCUUGACGGUAUUUUGUGUGUAACUGGUAAGGUAACUUAGUUAUUUUUAUCAGACAUUUGAGCAUUAUUAUUUCUACGUAAGGCAUAGCAAUCAUCCACAACUAAUCAUGUAUGUUUUCAUUGACUUUAUUUCUUUAGGUGACAGCAGAUACUAUAUCUAGUGAUGUAUUGAUCCUGGCCAAAAAGGUUGCACUAAAACUGAGUAAAGCCUAUUCGCAAUGCCCGCUCAGUUACUCACAAAGUUAUAGUAUUGGUUCAGGCCAACAAAGGAUUACGAGUCUCCAUGCUUCAUUCAAUUUAUUUUCCUGUAAACAGUGCAAGAGAGUGUAAACAGCUAGGGGUAACAGACGCUACGCGCCUCUACUAAACACUUUGUAAGUUGUUUUUACUCAUCUUAAAACGUCUCUAAUAAACCGACUCAAACCUAUACAUUUUUCAUAAGCUCAACUCAAGUAAUCUUCUUGAUGGUAAACUAUGUCUGGAACUUGCAGUACUGUAAAAUUACCCCGUUAUAGCUAUGAAAACAAGACAACUAUAGUUAGAGAAAAAAAAAGUUAAAACCAAUUUUUGAAAUAAUUCAACAGAUUAGUCCAAGGCCUUAAAUUUUGAUGAUUUUGAAUUGAUAUCGUUAAUUGUAAAAUUUUAAUUUGUUCUCAAAUCUGUUGCAUAUAUGAUAUGCGUUUAUUUGCAGAUCACAAUGCUUGAGAGACAACCUCAAGAGUUCCAUCGUUCAGUUUCUUAAGUUCAGCUCUUCUCUCAGGUAUGUUUUCAACCUCUUUCUUUUAUUUAGGCUUCAUUUUUGCUCUACAUUUUGAAAAUAUCAUCUCUUUUCUUUUUAUGCAGUAGCAGAUUCAUAGCCAACGUGGCUAUCUCACUAAACAAGAAAUCUUCGUAAGGUAUGCACGACCGACUUCAACAAUAUUUUCCUUGAGUUCCUCAAUAGCGUGACCUCAGUCAACAUCCUGAAUCUUUGUUUGUUAUUUCUUUCUUACAUGUUUUACUUGUUUUGCUUGUUUUCUUCUCUACUUCAUUGUUUGUUUGUUUCUUUGUGUAUUUGAUUCUAUUGCUUAGUGUAUUGCAUGUUUCUUUGCUUCUUUGAUUCCUCUGCUUAGAGUAUUGCUUAUUUUUUUGCUUCAUUUUUUCACUGCUUAGUGUAUUGCAUGUUUCUUUGAUUCUUUGACUCCUCUGCUUAGUGUAUGUAUUGCUUGUUUCUUUGAUUCUUUGACUCCUCUGCUUAGUCUAUGUAUUGCUUGUUUCUUUGCUUCUUUGAUUCCUCUGUUUAGUGCAUUGCUUGAUUUUGUACUUCCGUGUUUU
rnacentral:lncRNA from 1 species